rnacentral:rRNA from 1 species
UACGGGGGGGGCAAGCGUUGUUCGGAAUUACUGGGCGUAAAGGCUCGUAGGCGGCCAACUAAGUCGGACGUGAAAUCCCUCGGCUUAACCGGGGAACUGCGUCCGAUACUGGAUGGCUUGAGUUCGGGAGAGGGAUGCGGAAUUCCAGGUGUAGCGGUGGAAAUGCGUAGAUAUCUGGAGGAACACCGGUGGCGAAGGCGGCAUCCUGGACCGACACUGACGCUGAGGAGCGAAAGCCAGGGGAGCAAGCGGG